rnacentral:rRNA from 1 species
UAGCAGAGGUCUCAAGCGUUGUUCGGAUUCAUUGGGCGUAAAGGGUGCGUAGGCGGCGCGGUAAGGUCGGGUGUGAAACUUUCGAGGCUUAACUUCGAAACUGCAUUCGAUACUGCCGUGCUUGAGGACUGGAGAGGAGACUGGAAUUUACGGUGUAGCGGUGAAAUGCGUAGAUAUCGUAAGGAAGACCAGUGGCGAAGGCGGGUCUCUGGGACAGUUCCUGACGCUGAGGCACGAAGGUCAGGGGAGCAAACGGG